rfam:Danio rerio chromosome 11, GRCz11 reference primary assembly.
UCUAAAUGCCAUGUCACCCUGCAGCCCAAGACCGGUUACUCACUGAAGCUAAGCAGGGCUGAGCCUGGUCAGUACCUGGAUGGGAGACCACUAAGGAACACUAGGUUGCUGUUGGAA